rnacentral:misc_RNA from 1 species
AAGUCGUAACAAGGUUUCCGUAGGUGAACCUGCGGAAGGAUCAUUAACACGUAUCCAAACGUUAAAACCCCCCCCGUGAACCUUCAUCCUGCUCUUGUAACCCGCCCCAUGCCCCCUAAUAACCCCACAGUGUAAUGUGAAGCUCAAUGUAAUACAUUGGGUAAAAAAACCGAACAACUGUUAACAAUGGAUAUCUUGGUUCUC